rnacentral:rRNA from 1 species
UACGAAGGAUUCGAGCGUUAUCCGGAUUUAUUGGGUUUAAAGGGUGCGUAGGCGGACUGAUAAGUCAGUGGUGAAAGCCUGUUGCUUAACAACAGAACUGCCAUUGAUACUGCCAGUCUUGAGUACAGUUGAGGUAGGCGGAAUGUGUCAUGUAGUGGUGAAAUACUUAGAUAUGACACAGAACACCGAUUGCGAAGGCAGCUUGCUAAACUGUAACUGACGCUGAAGGCACGAAAGCAUGGGGAGCAAACAGG